ensembl:lncRNA
UGCAGUAAGUGCCUUCCGUGGACAUAUUCUUCUUUUCCUAGGACAGUGCCUAUGCUUUGAUUUACAGAAUAAAUGUCUUAGUGAGUGAAUGGGUGGUGGGACAACUGAGUGAACAUGCUUGCUGAGGUUGUGUUUUUUUUUCCUAUAGAAAGACUUAAUAAUUCCAGGACAUACAACUGCCAUCAUUCACAGUGCACCAGAAGAGCAACCCAAUAACGACAGAAUAACUCGUGUUCAUGGAGUCCAUGAAGAUAACAAAUGUGGCAGGAACGUCAGCUGUAGCGGGCAAGAAGAGUAAAAAAUGUUUUUUCAUCACUCAAGUUGCUCCACAACAGCCAAUUAAUAAACAUGGGAUGGACUCUGAUCACACAUUGGACAAAGAUAACAAACGUAGUAAGGAGUCUACCUCCCAAAGAGAUCCUGAAGACAACAACUCACCAAGGAAUUCGAAGGCAGGAACGUCAGCUGUAGUGGGUAAGAAGAGUAAAAAACGUUUUUUCAUCGCUCAAGUUGCUCCACAACAGCCAAUUAUGAACUCUGAUCACGGAUUGGACAAAGAUAACAAACGUAGUAAGGAGUCUACCUCCCAAAGAGAUCCUGAAGACAACAACUCACCAAGGAAUUCGAAGGAAGGAAUGUCAACCUUAGCGAGUAAGAAGGGCUUAAAAGAUAUCGCCAUCACUCAAGUUGCUCCACAACAGCCAAUUAAUGAAUAUGCGUUCAACUAUGAUCGUGGAUUGGACAAUGGUAAGGAGUCUACCUCCCAAAGAGAUCCUGAAGACAACAACUCACCAAGGAAUUCGAAGGCAGGAACGUCAGCUGUAGCGGGUAAGAAGAGUAAAAAACGUUUUUUCAUCGCUCAAGUUGCUCCACAACAGCCAAUUAUGAACUCUGAUCACGGAUUGGACAAAGAUAACAAGCGUAGUAAGGAGUCUACCUCCCAAAGAGAUCCUGAAGACAGCAACUCACCAAGGAAUUCGAAGACUAUUUCUACAAAUUCUUGGAAGAAAUCCAUUAAUCAAUCAAUGGCAGCCGAUGCAAAAAGAAAAGAUAUGAAUGAACCACUGGAAGAGUUUGCUAAGGGAUCCACUGAGUUGACGCCUCGUCUGGAAGCAAUACAUCCUUUUUGGACAACAUCAGUGGGAAUGAAUGAAGUACAAACAUGCAGACAAGAUAAUGACAUUAAAACAACAAACAAGGAAGAACAAGAAUGGCUUGAUGGAAGUAAAAAUAAGCAAUUUGAAGAAAAAGGGCAGCGUUGCCAAAGUAAGGAAAUGGAAGUGUUAAGAAACUUGCAUGAAAGUGCUGCUCCUCCUGAUGACAGUGAUGGUUGUGGACUGAAUCAGCAGAGACAGAGUGGGGACCUUGAUAACCAGCAAUCUGCCACUAAGAAGAAUGAAGAAUAUUAUUUCUGCCCUGCCUUGCAUAUAAAGGAAACAAAAAAUGAAAAUGAAAAAGUGACUUCCAUGGAGUAUGGGAUUAGACCAGUGAUAGAGAAUGGCUUUUCACUCACUAGAAGUCUACUGCAAGUGAUUUAUGACAACAAUCUGAGUGAGCUCGAUCGUCUUAAAAGGGAACAGUUAAGAAGAAAAGAAAAGCAAUAUCAUAAAGAAGUAGAAGUGAAACAACUUGAAGUGACACAUAGAACACUAGAAUUGGAUGCGAGGACUUCAAAAAACAAUUUGACCCAGGUAAGUUAAUCUUUGAUAAAAUUUUUAUGUUUCUGACUUGAAUCACUGUUACAUAUAAUGUCCUCCUCAUUCAAGAUAUAUACAUAAAUAUAUAUAUACACACACACGCAUAUACUAAACAGGUGUGUAUGCACACAGACACACACACAGAUGUGUAAUCUUUAUUUAAAGUAACCCAAAAAUUAUUCUGAAGAUGAAUUAUGACAUAUACUGCUGGAGUUAUUGCUUGUGAGUCUUGGUACAUGAUGGUGCUUAGUACAUAUUUUCUAAAUAAAGCAGUGCAUAUUGAGUUGAAUUUAAUAACU